AGGAUGAACGCUGGCGGCGUGCUUAACACAUGCAAGUCACGGGGGUUUGAGGCGCAAGCCUUGAGCAACCGGCGAACGGGUGCGUAACACGUGAGCAACCUACCGAAAUGAGGGGGAUAGCCGGCCCAACGGCCGGGUAAUACCGCAUAAGCUCAGAUCCAGGCAUUUGGGUCUGAGGAAACCUCCGGGGCGUUUCGAGGGGCUCGCGGCCUAUCAGCUAGUUGGCGGGGUAAUGGCUCACCAAGGCGACGACGGGUAGCUGGUCUGAGAGGAUGGCCAGCCACAUUGGGACUGAGAUACGGCCCAGACUCCUACGGGAGGCAGCAGGUGGGGAAUCUUGCGCAAUGGCCUAACGGCUAGACGCAGCGACGCCGCGUGAGGAUGACGCUCGUUCGGAGUGUUAAACCUCUUUUGUCUGAGACGUAAGUUGUACAGCUAUUAGCUGUA
rnacentral:rRNA from 1 species